AAAUUUAAAAAGGAAGAAGCAUAGAAGGGAAGAGAGAGAAAAAGAUGUGGUCGACUUCAUUUAACAAGACUCUUGUUGUUGUUCCCUCCGCCAAUGCUAAGCAACAAGGUGGGAAAUUGGGUGACACCCUUUUGCCCAAAUCGACUCCAAUUCCAAAACCAGCACAAGAAGAAGGCGAGAUGAGUGGGUCAUCCUCUCUGGUCACUCCCACCCAACAAACUGCCGUGGACUGCACCAAUGUUCUGGUGAGGUUUCGAGUCGAUUGUUAAACUUUUUCCGCAAGAUAUUCAUAUUAGCACAUGGGGGAAUAAAAAGGUUGCAGUGGGUAACAGAUUUGAAUAUGUUGGUAUCCUAUUUGAAUCCAAAUAGUAAUCUACAUUACCAUGGUUGAAUUUUAAAAUAGCUCAAUAAGUUUGCACGAUACUGCAGUUGGAAUGCUUACUCAUUUUGCCGACAAAAUGCUUAAUUCCGUAGCACAAAAUAAUGUAUGCCCAUUUCAUCAUUGCAAGCUAAUUCUCGUAAGUUAACCACCCCAUUACCACAAUCGGCCUUCGUAGAAUGAGCUUCUCUCCCUCAUCAACAAAGUGGAAGCUGGGUUGAUAACUAUGAAAGUAUUUUUCAAAAUCAAUCCAAGGAACCGGUUGUACCCUGCCAAGUAAAACGCAACUGCAUACUAGUGAUUUGAAGCAUUUAUUAAGUUUGCAAGCAACCAUGCAUUCGUUAAUGGAUGGGAUGAGAUAAUAACAUAAAUGAACAACAGAAGUAAAACAGUUUUCAUUCUGAGCAAUUUUUUUUUUUAUAAGAACAACCAUGUAAGCAGGGCACAGAAACUUCGUUUGGAAAGUGAAAGGUUGCAAUUUGGACGCGUUAGUUGCUGCAUAACCUAGCUUAUCUAUCGAGUUACCAUCUUGAAUGUUUUACGAAUUUCGACUUUUCUGUGAUUGAAGUGUGCUGCUGCUGCUUUUUUUUUUCCUCCCUGUAAUGAAUUGUACUGAGGGGAACAAUGAUUGACAUUUUGUCACCCCACAGAAUCGCCACCGUUCUCAAGUGUUGUCGGCAGCUUUACAAGGGACGAAAAUAUAAAUAAGAAAUUACUUUAAUUUCGGCCGUGAUCAA